AGCAGUCCUGCAAAGCUCAGCCCUGGGCGGUCUGUGCCAUGGCCUGGGCUCCUCUCCUGCUCACACUCCUGGCUCACUGUGCAGGAGCCGCUUCCCAGGUUGUGGUGACUCAGGAACCUUCACUGUCCAUGACUCCUGGGGGGACGGUCACGCUCACCUGUGGCUCCAGUGCUGGAGCCGUCACCACCAGCAACCAUGCUACAUGGGUCCAACAGAUGCCCUACCAGGCACCCCGGGGUCUAAUAAGUGGCACCAACUACCGGAUUCCGGGAGUCCCUGCCCGAUUCUCAGGCUCCCUGCUUGGAGGCAAGGCUGCCUUCACCAUCACGGGGGCCCAGCCUGAGGACGAGGCUGAGUAUUUCUGUGCUCUGUGGCAUGGCGACCAUUACCACAGUGACAGGUGGCAGGGGGGAAGUGAGACACAAACCCUCAGCUCAGCCUCACCCUGA